rnacentral:tRNA from 1 species
GCGGGUGUAGCUCAAUGGUAGAGCAGCAGCUUCCCAAGCUGACGACGGGGGUUCGAUUCCCCUCACCUCCCACCA